GACAGAGGGUGCAAGCGUUAAUCGGAAUGACUGGGCGUAAAGGGUACGUAGGCGGUUAUGUAAGCUCGAUGUGAAAGCCCUGGGCUUAACCUAGGAUUGGCAUAGAGGACUGCAUAGCUAGAGAUAGGUAGAGGAUAGUGGAAUUCCCGGAGUAGCGGUGAAAUGCGUAGAUAUCGGGAGGAACAUCAGUGGCGAAGGCGGCUAUCUGGACCUAAACUGACGCUGAGGUACGAAAGCGUGGGGAGCGAACGGG
rnacentral:misc_RNA from 1 species